GGAGAAGAACGCGUUUUACACCUUCAUUACUCAACUUUCUAGGAUCUGAGCUGUGUGCUUUCACCGACGGUCUUCUUUUUCUCCUUCGUUUGCUUCAGCUAGCAAUUAUGGUUCCACCUAUCGAAACUCAAGUCAAGUCUUCAGUGUCUCAUAAGUUCUCAAUUCCACCACUUAAUGAAAGAAUACUCUCUUCUAUGACACGGAGAUCAGUUGCAGCUCAUCCUUG
rnacentral:misc_RNA from 1 species